ACUCAGGGGGAGGUGAACCAGUCCUCUCAGUGUGGCAGACUCAGGGGAGGUGAACCAGUCCUCUCAGUGAGGCAGACUCAGGGGGAGGUGAACCAGUCCUCUCAGUGUGGCAGACUCAGGGGGAGGUGAACCAGUCCUCUCAGUGUGGCAGACUCAGGGGGAGGUGAACCAGUCCUCUCAGUGUGGCAGACUCAGGGGGAGGUGAACCAGUCCUCUCAGUGAGGCAGACUCAGGGGGAGGUGAACCAGUCCUCUCAGUGUGGCAGACUCAGGGGGAGGUGAACCAGUCCUCUCAGUGUGGCAGACUCAGGGGGAGGUGAACCAGUCCUCUCAGUGUGGCAGACUCAGGGGAGGUGACCGGGUGGAGUAACCGGGUGGUAGCCGGCUAGUGACAGUAUCUAACUUCAGGACAGGGUACUGGGUGAAGGUCUGGCUAUUGAUGGCUAUUGAACAGUCUGAUGGCCUUGAGAUAGAAGCUGGAUUUUCAGUCUCUCGGUCACAGCUUUGAAGCACAUGUACUUUCCUCGCCUUCUGGAUGAUAGCGGGGUGAACAGGCCCGUGGCUCGGGUGGUUGAUGACAGGAUGCUCUCAAUGGUGCAUCUUAGGGGGCCAAGCUGAAUUCUCUUCAGCCACCUGAGGUUGAAGAGGCGCUGUUGUGCCUUCUUCACCACACUGUCUGCGUGGGUUCCUCGCCCUGAGCUCAUCUACUUUAUUGUCCAGGGACUGAACAUUAGCGAGUAAUGUACUCGGAAGCGGUGGAUGGUGUGUGCGCCUCCUGAUUCGGACUAGAAGUCCACUCGGAAUACCUCUUCUCUACCGGGGGCGUCUUAGAGCAGCCUCUGAGAUAAGUUAAAUUACCUUGGGGGAGUACGAACAAAAAAAUCCACUUCAGGAAAGUUGUACUUCUGGUGGGAAUGCUGGUGAGUUACCUCCGCUCUGAUAUCCAAAAGUUAUUUCCGGCUGUACGUAAUAACACAAAAAAUGUUCUGGGCUAAUAAGAAAUAACACCCCAAAGAAUUACUGCAAAGUUUAAAUUAUUAUUAUUUUUUACUUCACCUU
rnacentral:lncRNA from 1 species